UUGCACUGGUUCGGAACCUGCUUCACUCUCAGUAUGAAUUUUGGUUUAACUCCAUUGCUAUAUGAAACUCAUUCCAGUGAGGCAGGGGAGCGGUAUCCUUUUUGUGCUGUCUCCCUGUUCACUCUCUGGGAACAUCA
ensembl:snoRNA